UGGGGAAUAUUGCGCAAUGGGGGGAACCCUGACGCAGCCAUGCCGCGUGAAUGAAGAAGGCCUUCGGGUUGUAAAGUUCUUUCGGUAUUGAGGAAGGUUGAUGUGUUAAUAGUACAUCAAAUUGACGUUAAGUACAGAAGAAGCACCGGCUAACUCCGUGCCAGCAGCCGCGGUAAUACGGAGGGUGCGAGCGUUAAUCGGAAUAACUGGGCGUAAAGGGCACGCAGGCGGUUAUUUAAGUGAGGUGUGAAAGCCCCGGGCUUAACCUGGGAAUUGCAUUUCAGACUGGGUAACUAGAGUACUUUAGGGAGGGGUAGAAUUCCACGUGUAGCGGUGAAAUGCGUAGAGAUGUGGAGGAAUACCGAAGGCGAAGGCAGCCCCUUGGGAAUGUACUGACGCUCAUGUGCGAAAGCGUGGGGAGCAAACAGGAUUAGAUACCCUGGUAGUCCACGCUGUAAACGCUGUCGAUUUGGGGGUUGGGGUUUAACUCUGGCGCCCGUAGCUAACGUGAUAAAUCGACCGCCUGGGGAGUACGGCCGCAAGGUUA
rnacentral:rRNA from 1 species